AUGUCUGCUGGACCUACUCUGCCACCAUUUCACCAGUCUGUUGUUCCUGCAUCGCUGUCCAGUCGACCACGAGUAGCUGCCACACCAUCAUCGCCUCCGCCCUCUGCAGCUACUUCUCCACCAGCGUCCCAUCAGAUUGCAGCGACCGCGGCACUCUCGGCUUCACCUUCCACAUCGCCCGCUCAACCAUCAUCUUCACCACCUGCAGCUACCGCAUCACCAUCUUCGCCUCCGAAUCGACCAUCCGUAGCAGCGCCGCUGCCGGAGGGGCAGCUCAGCGAGCCGGAGGAGCUCAGCGAGCCGGAGGAGCCCGCCUCGCCGACUGUGGAGCUCAGCGAGCCGGAGGAGCUCAGCGAGCCGGAGGAGCCCACCUCGCCGACUGUGGAGCUCAGCGAGCCGGAGGAGCUCAGCGAGCGGGAGGAGCUCAGCGAGCGGGAGGAGCCCGCCUCGCCGACUGUGGAGCUCAGCGAGCCGGAGGAGCUCAGCGAGCGGGAGGAGCCCGCCUCGCCGACUGUGGAGCUCAGCGAGCCGGAGGAGCUGAGCGAGCCGGAGGAGCCCGCCUCGCCGACUGUGGAGCUCAGCGAGCCGGCGGAGCUCAGCGAGCGGAUGGAGCCCGCACCACCUGAGGAGGAGCUCUGUGAGCCAGAGCCGGAAUUCGGCGAGCGGGAGGAGCGGCUACCAUCAAGAGAGGGGCCCGGCGGGCCGGAGAAGCGCGCACCGCCUGAGCUGGAGCUGCAGGGGCCGGAGCUGCAGCAGGAGCAGGAGCUCGGAGAGCGAGAGGAGUGCCCGCCAUCGAGAGAGGGGCUCGGCAGGCCGGAGGAGCGUGCACAGCCAUCGAAGGUCGGCGGGCGGGAGGAAUCCGAUCAGUCUACGCGGGGGGUCAGUGUGCAGGGUCCACGUCCAGCGCGCCCUCCACGCCGUCCACGUCCAGCGCGCCGGGCGUCAUGGGCUGUUCUACUCUGUCACCCGCCAGAGCUGCAACACUGCUGCUACCGGACCCAUGGCCGCCCGCCGCAGCUGCCACGCCACCGCGACUGGAUCCGUGGCAGGCCACCGGACCUGCAGCGCCGCUGCCACUGGAUCAGUGGCAGGCCCCCUGAACCGUUUUGUCGCUGCUGCCGGACCCAUGGCCGUCCGCCGGAGAUCCAGCGUUCCCUCCAAUGGACUAGAGGUAGGCCUCCUGAACUGUAUUCUGCCUCUGCCUACCCACAGCAGGUCUCGCCUGUUUUUCCGCCCACUGGGUCGGCAGCCAGAACUGUUUGCUGUCAUUGGAGCGGGGUUGGACUACUGAACUGA
rnacentral:lncRNA from 1 species